CACGUAGGGUGCAAGCGUUGUCCGGAUUUACUGGGCGUAAAGCGCGCGCAGGUGGUUCCUUAAGUCUGAUGUGAAAGCCCACGGCUCAACCGUGGAGGGUCAUUGGAAACUGGGGAACUUGAGUGCAGAAGAGGAAAGUGGAAUUCCACGUGUAGCGGUGAAAUGCGUAGAGAUGUGGAGGAACACCAGUGGCGAAGGCGACUUUCUGGUCUGUAACUGACACUGAGGCGCGAAAGCGUGGGGAGCAAACAGG
rnacentral:rRNA from 1 species